UCGACCUGAGCUCAGGCAAGAACACCCGCUGAACUUAAGCAUAUCAAUAAGCGGAGGAAAAGAAACUAACCAGGAUUCCCCUAGUAACGGCGAGUGAACCGGGAAGAGCCCAGCUUGAAAAU
rnacentral:rRNA from 1 species